GUGCCAGCCGCCGCGGUAAUACAGAGGGUGCAAACGUUGCUCGGAAUUAUUGGGCGUAAAGCGCACGUAGGCGGUUCGAUAAGUUGGAUGUGAAAACCCUGGGCUCAACCCUGGAAGUGCAUCCAAGACUGUCAAGCUAGAGUGUCGGAGGGGGUCGGAGAAUUCCCGGUGUAGAGGUGAAAUUCGUAGAUAUCGGGAGGAACAUCUGUGGCGAAGGCGCCGACCUGGACGACAACUGACGCUGAGGUGCGAAAGCAUGGGGAGCAAACAGGAUUAGAUACCCCCGUAGUCC
rnacentral:rRNA from 1 species